rnacentral:rRNA from 1 species
GUGGGGAAUCUUGCGCAAUGGGCGAAAGCCUGACGCAGCAACGCCGCGUGCGGGAUGACGGCCUUCAAGGUUGUAAACCGCUUUCAGCAGGGACGAAAAUGACGGUACCUGCAGAAGAAGCCCCGGCUAACUACGUGCCAGCAGCCGCGGUAAUACGUAGGGGGCAAGCGUUGUCCGGAUUCAUUGGGCGUAAAGAGCUCGUAGGCGGUUCAGUAAGUCGGGUGUGAAAGCUCCGAGCUCAACUGGGAGAGGCCACCAGAUACUGCUGUGACUUGAGGACAGUAGGGGAGCGUGGAAUUCCUGGUGUAGCGGUGAAAUGCGCAGAUAUCAGGAGGAACACCAGCGGCGAAGGCGGCGCUCUGGGCUGUAACUGACGCUGAGGAGCGAAAGUGUGGGUAGCAAACAGGAUUAGAAACCCGUGUAGUCC